rnacentral:rRNA from 1 species
AACGAACGCUGGCGGCAUGCCUAACACAUGCAAGUCGAACGAGACCUUCGGGUCUAGUGGCGCACGGGUGCGUAACGCGUGGGAAUCUACCCUUGGGUUCGGAAUAACAGUUAGAAAUGACUGCUAAUACCGGAUGAUGACGUAAGUCCAAAGAUUUAUCGCCCAAGGAUGAGCCCGCGUAAGAUUCGCUUGUUGGUGGGGUAAUGGCCUACCAAGGCGACGAUCUUUAUCCGGACUGAGAGGAUGAUCAGCCACACUGGGACCGAGACACGGCCCAGACUCCUACGGGAGGCAGCAGUGGGGAAUAUUGGACAAUGGGCGAAAGCCUGAUCCAGCAAUGCCGCGUGAGUGAUGAAGGCCUUAGGGUUGUAAAGCUCUUUUACCAGGGAUGAUAAUGACAGUACCCGGAGAAUAAGCUCCGGCUAACUCCGUGCCAGCAGCCGCCGUAA